UGGGAUUGUGUAUGCUCGGAGGAUCUUGCAUGUGGAUUAUAUUAUUAUUGAGGAUGAUUCUAUCAUGGUGAUAUCCUGCAUUCAAGGAUAUAUGCAAGGAGCUAUUACACAUCAUAUGCGAUAUCUCUAUUUUGUUAUCUAGAUGUGCAGGUCUUCCUAUCAAGCACAUCUUUUGAGAGGCUAACACUGUAGUUAACUAAAUUGUAGCUUAUAUUGCGGAGCAC
rnacentral:lncRNA from 1 species